AGGCUUUAAUGUGCUUAAAAAGGGGGGGAGUGGGGGUUUUGUCUUCUAUUCACUGCUAUUAUUUUGUUGACUAAAUUUCAAUAUGAAUUUGAAAUUUACUUGUCCUCUUACUACUUGUAGUAAUUCUAAUUUUCAACUCGAAAAUCUAAAAUCCUAAUUUUAACAGCAAGGGAAUUGUGCACCUUUUGUCACACUUAUUCUUUAAAAAUUAGUAUUUCUCAUCGACCAGGUUAAUUUUCUUUGCCAACAAUUCUUAAACAAUGGUCUAUAAUUUCUUUGCAGGUAUACUUGAUAUCUGACUUUUCCCUGUUUUCAGCGAAUAAUAAUAAAAACUAAAAUACUGUAAAUAUUACCCCACUAUUACUUUUCCACUGCAACAGCAGGAAUGCCAACAAAAUGAAAAGUGGGAGAAUAUGAUGUAGACAAUUGCUGCUGGGAAGGCAGACACUCCUCCACGCAAUUCCUCUGUUGGAAGAAUGGCCUCUAGUAUAAAAGUUUGUCGACAUUGUGUUGCUUUUGGCAGAUGCAGGUUCAGCCAAUGCAGCAACCAGACAGACUGGAUACUGAGGGCUAAGAGGAAAUGUCUCCAAAGGUAACGUACAUACUUUAUGUGCAAGUCUGCUUCUACUCCUAUUUCUCCUUACCUCGAAAACACCACUUAUCUCAUCCCUUCCCAUCUCCAUUUUUCUAUAGAAAUUAGGAAAAAAAUAUUAACCAGUAUUUACAAAGUAUAAGACGUAAACCUCUACCUGCAGUAUGGUAAAUUUAACAUCUCUUCUCCCACAGAAGAAUCUUCUUUAGCAGUUAAGAAACAGAGCAGCCUUUACAAAAUUUUUGAUUCCAACUUAAAACUACAAAAGUUUUGUUUACUGUGAGCAGGAAAAUGGUCACUUGUAAUAAUGUAGAAUUUUUUUUCGCCAUUGCCAUGCAUUUCCAUUCCAAAUGACUGGUCCAACUUUGUAGAAAUUGUGGUGCUCAGCCAAAGGGACCAAUGAUAUCUGCAAGUCAGUUGCUUGUCUUAGAUAACUGAGGUUGCAUAAAAGCAGUCAGGAUUUGGGGAACGCCUAAGAAGAUAAGGGAAGAGAAUUUGGUUAUGGAAGCAGAUAAAGCCAGAGAUACUGAAUCCAAAUUAUUUGCUUCCAAAUCCGUUUCCUUUGUGAAAGGUGUUCUAACUUUGUUGGCCUUUUUCUAAAGGAAAGGGUUUGUGUUUAUUUGUUGGUGUAAGUAUUGAAACGUUACACCUUUUACGCUCCUCUUGGCUCCUAAAAACCCAGUGAUUCUAUUUAACUUUACAAAUUGAAACCACUGUAGCUUAACAGACUUUUUAUUCAAUUUACAGGAUUAAAAAAAAAAAGGAAUUACUGCAAAUCAGUUAUGGUAUGGUUAGUUUUUUAGAUUUGUGCUGAGAUUGUGUUUAGCUAGAAAUUGCAAUUUGAUUGAAAUGUAUGAAUUGUCAUUUAGCGUUUUGUUAAAACACUUGAAAUUUAUGGGUACAUAGAGAAAAAUUACCAAAACAUGGUGUGUAUUUAACCUAGAUUUAUUGAAAAAAGGGAUAUUAACUGCAGUUAAGAAAUUGUCAAACCUCUCCUUUGAUCAUGCACAAUAUUAUUCAUAGGACAAGUAGAGAUUCUGAAAGAUACAGCUGUGAGGCUAAUGAAAUUUUCAAAAACACUCCUGAUGAAAUUCCAAAUCCUACUUGUGUUUUCUAAGUAUCUUCUUGUGAGAUUUUCAAAUGUUUUAAAGUUUUUAAAACUAUCAUGUCUGAAUCUCUCCUACUUCUUUUUUAUGCACAGACAAAAGGAGGAAAAUGAACUUUCCUACCUUCUGAGAUUCAAGUGUUCUCCAGUUUUGCAUUCACUUGUUAAGAUGCUUUUCUAGACCAUAGGAAAAUGUUUUCACGCUUUGGAAGUGUCACAGGAAAAUAAGUAUUUAUUCUGAAUUAAUUUAACACUUUUUCUUUUCAUGUGGUAUUAUUUUAAAUAACAGAUACUGCUAUUUAUAGCCAGGAACAGUGUCAAGAGGUCAGACAUUUAGGGUGGGAUCCAUCUUAUCCAUCUUUAGUAAUCUAGAAGUUAGGAGUGUAGUCUCAAUCAGUCAUCUAGGCUCCUUCUACAGAUAAUUUGGGAUGGGGAGGGGAGAGAGGCAGUUCUGCUGAGAUACUCAUCCCGCUAUCUAAAUCUCCUGGUCUUUGAAGGUGCCUAUCUCUGUGUUGAUUUAAGAUGGAGCCUGGAUGACUAGCUCUGGUUAGAGAGCAGAAUUUUUGGAUGGCUACAGUUAGGAUGGGCUCCUUCACAACCAGCAGAAUAAAAUCUCUAAAAAGUGAGUAUGGGUGGGAGUGUCAGGGUUUUUUGUGUAUGUGUGUUAAAAGAAAAUCAUGUCUUUUUUCUAAAUAAAUGAGUGAAUUACUUUAUUUCAGAAUACAACUUUCUCCUUUCAAAACUUGCAUUUGCUGUAAGGCAGGAGGAACUGGCCCUGAGUAGAUUUUACAGAUCAGAAUACAUAAGGUAAAGCAACAGUGUUCUAGUCCUGUGAACAGUGACAGGACCCAAGGGAACGGCC